rnacentral:rRNA from 1 species
AUUGAACGCUGGCGGCAGGCCUAACACAUGCAAGUCGAGCGAGCGGCAGUCGGGUGAGUAUUGCCUGGAAAUUGCCCAGUCGAGGGGUAAAACAGUUGGAAACGACUACUCAUACCUCAUACGAUUGGAUUGCACAGGUGGGAUUAGUUAUUUGGUGAGGUAAUGGCUCACCAAGGCGACGAUCCCUAGCUUGUCUGAGAGGAUGAUCAGCCAGACUGGAACUGAGACACGGUGCAGAAUCCUACGGGAGGCAGCAGUGGGGAAUAUUCCACAAUGGGGGAAACCCUGAUAGAGCCACGCCGCGUGAGUGAAGAGGGCAUUCGGUUCGUAAAGCUCUUUCAGCGAAGAAGCGUUACUCACCGAGGAAGCACCGGCUAACUCCGUGCCAGCAGCCGCGGUAAUAC